rnacentral:rRNA from 1 species
CACGUAGGGACCGAGCGUUGUCCGGAUUCAUUGGGCGUAAAGAGCUCGUAGGCGGUUCGAUAAGUCGGGUGUGAAACCUCCAGGCUCAACCUGGAGACGCCACCCGAUACUGUCGUGACUAGAGUCCAGUAGGGGAGCGUGGAAUUCCUGGUGUAGCGGUGAAAUGCGCAGAUAUCAGGAGGAACACCAGCGGCGAAGGCGGCGCUCUGGCUCGACCCUGACGCUGAGGCGCGAAAGCGUGGGGAGCAAACAGG